UACGUAGGCAGCGAGCGUUGUUCGGAGUUACUGGGCGUAAAGGGUGUGUAGGCGGUUGUUUAAGUUUGGUGUGAAAUCUCCCGGCUCAACUGGGAGGGUGCGCCGAAUACUGAAUGACUAGAGUGCGGGAGAGGAAAGUGGAAUUCCUGGUGUAGCGGUGAAAUGCGUAGAUAUCAGGAGGAACACCGGUGGUGUAGACGGCUUUCUGGACCGUAACUGACGCUGAGACACGAAGCGUGGGUAGCAAACAGG
rnacentral:rRNA from 1 species